GAACUGAGCCCGCGCCGGAAGUGGCACGGGAGGUGCACUGUCCUUCCCCCUCUGCAUCCCUCUCACGCGACCCCAGCCGGGGUCAUAGGUCCGUUGGCGUGUGCGCCCAUAGCGCACUUCCUUCCACGCUUCCUCCAUAUGUUGAUGUAUCCUGAACUGAAAGAAAUGAAGAAAAGAAACUUAAAGGGGCAAAAGCAAUGAAAUGGUUCUAAAAGAAAAAACAACUUAGUUGAGUUGCUGCAGAAAGUAAGAAGAGUGUGCUGGACGGCGACGUUUCGACCUAAGGUAUCCUGAACUGAAAGAAAUGAAGAAAAGAAACUUAAAGGGGCAAAAGCAAUGAAAUGGUUCUAAAAGAAAAAACAACUUAGUUGAGUUGCUGCAGAAAGUAAGAAGAGUGUGCUGGACGGCGACGUUUCGACCUAAGGUAUCCUGAACUGAAAGAAAUGAAGAAAAGAAACUUAAAGGGGCAAAAGCAAUGAAAUGGUUCUAAAAGAAAAAACAACUUAGUUGAGUUGCUGCAGAAAGUAAGAAGAGUGUGCUGGACGGCGACGUUUCGACCUAAGUCAGAGCAGGAGUGACGGACUCUACUGCUGCUGCCUCCUUUUAUCUCCUCCCCCGGCACCCCACGCAGCUAAGCCCUCCCCCCUGCUACGUCUCCCCUGUGAAGGCUUCCUGCAUGUCUGGGCAUGUACUAACUGAACUCUAUUGUUUUCUGCUGU